GGCUCCGUAGCAUGGUGGUUAGCAUGUCUGCUUUACAUGCAGAAGGUCCUGGGUUCACACCCCAGGUGGAGCCA
rnacentral:tRNA from 1 species